UACGUAGGGGGCUAGCGUUGUCCGGAUUUAUUGGGCGUAAAGAGCGUGUAGGCGGCCAGGUAGGUCAGCUGUGAAAACUCGAGGCUCAACCUCGAGACGUCGGUUGAAACCACCUGGCUAGAGUCCGGAAGAGGAGUGUGGAAUUCCCGGUGUAGCGGUGAAAUGCGCAGAUAUCGGGAAGAACACCCGUGGCGAAGGCGGCACUCUGGGACGGUACUGACGCUGAGACGCGAAAGCGUGGGGAGCGAACAGG
rnacentral:rRNA from 1 species